rfam:Corchorus capsularis cultivar CVL-1 contig06823, whole genome shotgun sequence.
GGGUGCGAUCAUACCAGCACUAAUGCACCGGAUCCCAUCAGAACUCCGUAGUUAAGCGUGCUUGGGCGAGAACUAGUGUGGGUGACCUCCUGGGAAGUACUCGUGUUGUAUCCC